UCGAUGCGGCACAUCAGGACAUCAUCACCUGGGAACGCUGAACCUUGAAGACCGUGAUAGCAUUGGGCACCCACCGCCCACCGGCCAGCGCGAGAUCUGAAGCCAAGUUGCCCACUCCUUGAGGUCAUCGACUUGACUCAUCGAUAUUGAGCAUCAUGCACGUCUGCUAGUACUGCUGAUCGGCCACCGGCCGGCCGCGUAUGUUUUUAUAUUUCUGCUCCAUGUGAUGCGUUGCUGGCUGCGAUUAGUUCACCAUCACUGCCAUCUGCCAUCUCUAUAUAUUUUCUCUCCCUCCGGCAGUUAACGCACCAUAUCCGCACCCUCUCUUCCUGGGCUGAACAACACAACCCAACACAACUCUCACUCACACACUCCUCGCCGGUGACUGCCUCCACGACGUGCGACGGCCGGACGGCAGCCCCUCUCCCCCUCCUGUGCCUGCGUCCCUACAGCACAGGUUCUGAGUGCAUUGGCACCUGUGUGGAUGGACGCACUCCUCGGCGCGGCGCAAUGGGUGGUGAGCAAGGCGCUGGCCCCCGUUGCCGAUGGCCUGCUGGAGGCUUGGGGUGCAACCAGGAACUUGGGUCCGAACAUCGAGGCCCUGAGGAUGGAGCUGCUGCUUGUGAAGGCCACCCUUGAAAAUGCCGGCCUCAAGCACACCAGUGGCCAUGCCAUGGAGGAGCUGCUCGGGAAGCUGCAGGACUUAGCAUACUGUGCCGAGGACUUGUUGGACGAGCUUGACUACUUCCGCAUCCACGACCAGCUCCACGACACAUAUGACGCCGCGGACCAGCAUGCCAAGGGCGGCGUCCACGACCUUGCCCUCAAUGCUCGUCAUGUCGCCAAAGCUGUUGGCAAGCUGACAUUUGUAUCCUCAUUUUGCUGUUCUGCUCCCAAACCUGCAGGCGAUACUGGAGAAGGAGAAGAUGUAACACAACGGGUCAGCCGUUGUGCUUGGCUGCGUGCUCGGAAGAGGUCAGACGGGAAUUCCUCCUCACUACCAAACGCCAAUCAGGAGGUCGGCGGAUGCAUGGCCAAGCUUGGUAAACUCCUCCCUUGCUCAUCUUCCCCACAUGUUCGUGAUGAUAGUUCUGGCCAGCCUAUUCUUUGUGGUGUGCCACAGAGAGAAACACCAAUGGUGGGGUUUAAUAGGGUUGAUGCCUCUGAAAGAAUGCGGCACAUUGUAGAGCAAUUGCAGCCUGUGCGUAAAGAGGUUACACUGAUUCUGCAAAGUUGUAGCCGUGUGAUAGUCCCGACUAUUGACCAGAGUCUUCCCAUCAAUCGCCCCAUCACCUCUGGUACAAGUGUGGAGCCAAAAUUGUAUGGGAGAGACCAUAUCGUGGAUACCAUCAUACAUGAUAUGACUAUGGGUAAAUACCUUAGCUUUGAUCUAACUGUGCUUCCGAUUGUCGGUCCAGGGGGAAUUGGAAAGACAACUCUGAUACAACACAUACAUAAAACCCAACAAGUUCAAAAUCAUUUUCAAGUUGUUAUUUGGGCGUGUGUGUCGCUCAAGUUUAAUUUGAAUAAGCUGCUAGAGGAGAUUAAAACAUAUAUUCCUCAAGUUGAAGGGGAAAAGGGUGGUAGUGCCGAAGAGCUGAUUGAGCAGAGAUUAAAAUCUAAAAGGUUUUUGCUUGUACUGGAUGAUAUUUGGGAGAUUAGUGAUGAGGAUGAGUGGGAAAAGUUAUUGCUGCUACUCAGAACAUCAUCUGAAAAGGGUAGCAUGAUUAUUGUCACAACUCGGUUUCCGUCAAUAGCUAAGAUAGUUGGAACAGUUGACCGUUCAAUAAAAUUGAAAGGUUUAGAAUCUGAAUUUAUUAGGGAGUUAUUCCAUGCAUUUGUCUUUGGUGAUGACCAAUGUAGAAAGGAUCACAAUUUUUUGCUUGAGACCGGAGAUAAAAUAAUGAUAAAACUAAAGGGAUCCCCACUUGCAGCAAAAACAGUUGGUAGAUUACUGAGAAAGAAUCUUAAUUUGCGUCAUUGGACAAGGGUCCUAGAAAGUAAAGAAUGGGAGAGCCAGACCAGUGUUAAUGACAUUAUGCCUGCCUUGAAGCUUAGCUAUGACUAUCUCCCUUUUCAUCUUCAGCGAUGCUUUUCCUAUUCUGCAUUGUUUCCUGAAGAUUACCAUUUCAAUGGCGCCCAACUAGUCAACUUGUGGAUAGGACUGGAUAUCUUACAACCUGGUGAUCGAACCCAAACAUUUGAAGAUAUAGGUUUCAGCAACUUAAAUGAUUUGGUCACGUAUGGCUUUUUCAGAGAAGAUAAAACUAAUGGUCGUCUAUGUUAUGUCAUGCAUGACCUCCUACACGAUUUAGCAUUGCAAGUUAUAUCUCAUGAAUGUAUUAGUUUACAUCGGUCCAAUGUGGGAUUGGUAAAAAUUCAGCCGUUCAUCCGUCACUUGUCUAUAAUCAUAGAUGGUGGGGAUGAUUCAGUGUCUCGUGAAAAUUUCAAGAGUCAACUGAGAAAGCUAAAGACAAGUUUGAAGAUUAAACAAUUGCAUACCUUGAUGUUAUUUGGAGAAAUGGAUGAAAGUUUUGUCAACACUCUGGGUGAUUUGUUUAGGGAAGCAAAUGCUCUUCGUGUUCUCCGUUUGGAUGAAACGCCGUAUUAUGUGGAGUCCAUAUUACCUAACUUUUCAGCACUUGUUCAUCUACGGUACCUAUAUCUGGGGACAAAGUGUGAGAGUGAGAUGCAUGUACUACUUAUCAUUUCUAGAUUUUAUCAUUUAAGGAUUUUGGGUCUAGGGUCAUGGUACCACAAUUGUCAUUUGCCCAAAGAGUUGAGCAACCUUGUAAACAUGCGUCGGUUUUAUACGCCAGCUGAUGAGUUGCAUUCUGAUAUUGUCAAUGUGGGAAAACUCAAACACUUAGAGGAGUUGAUGGUAUUUAGAGUCAAUAAAAAAUUUGAAGGGUUUGAACCAUGUCAACUAGAGCAUUUGACGGAACUAAGGGAGCUUGGCAUCUAUAACCUUGAGAAUAUACACACUAAAGAAGAAGCAGCCAAAACAAAUCUGGGAGAGAAAAUCCACUUGGAGAAGUUAACAUUAGAUUGGGAUAAUGAGCGGUCUAAUACCGAGCCAGGUGCAGAAGCAGUUGUCCUUGAGAGCCUUCAACCACAUAGAUAUCUUCAGGAGUUGUGCAUUAGAGGGCACAAAGGCUCUUCUUUUCCAACAUGGCUGGGUGAUAAGGUCACUGUUGAAUCUCUUCAUCUCUCUGGUGUUUCUUGGCAAUGUCUCCCUCCUUUGGGGAAGAUGUGGGGCCUUGGUAAAGUAGUAUUGGAACAUAUUCCCGCAAUGGAGGAGUUUGUUAUAGAGCAAAGCCUUUGCAAGCUAAUAAGGGUUGAGCUUGUUGGCUUGGGAAGUUUUGGAAAAUGGGUAGCAUCACAGGAUGCGGAUCAUAUGUUUCCUCUUUUGCAAGUAUUGAUUAUAAAAGACUGCCCUAAACUGUUGGAGCUGCCAUUUGCAAGCCAUAUUAUUUACCCAUCAGAUCAAGACCGGAAUAGUGAUUGGUUUCCCAAACUGCAAGAGCUUUGUAUAGAGAAGUGUCCAGAACUGUUGUUAGUGGCUCAUAUCCCAUGGACGGACACUCUGCAUAGUGUGAACAUAAGUGAUGUAAAGCUACUAGACAGGCUUGUGUACUCAACAAAUUCCUUCUUUGGGGGACGCUGUUUGGAUAUUGCAGGAAAGGAUGAUUUGCAGAGCUUAGAUGAGGUGGUAGCAUUCAGCAAGCUGGCAUGUCUUGAGCGUUUGUUACUCCACAAGUGCCCAGCUCUGAAGUCAAAGCACCUUCUGCUGUUGACCUCACUGAAGAAGUUGAUGGUAGAGGGUUCAGAUGGUGUGGUUGUAGAGGGUGAUGUGGAAUGGCAGCACCCCCUUGAGCAUCUUGUGGUGCAGGGCGAGGAAUCAUGUGGGAAGGAAUUGACAGAGCUCCUCACCCACCUCCCAAGCAUCUCCAAAUUGGAAAUCGAAAAAUGUGAAAAGAUAACACAACUGUCAGUGGGGUUGGAUGUGCAACAAACAACAUCAUCAGCUACGGAGGUGGAGGAGAAAGAAGAAGAUGAUUCAGGGCUGCUGCUCUUGCCUGCCCAACUCUCUGGCACACUGCAGCUGUUGAGCAUCCGGAGUUGUCCAGAGCUGGUCCUGGUGGACCCCCCUUUUCUUCUUGCCAGGGGAGGGCUCCAGGCCCUGCGGUCCCUCAAGACUCUACAAAUUUCGUUGUGCCCAAAGAUACUAUCCGCAAAGAGUUCUCCAUUCUGCUGCCCUUUUCCAUCCUCUCUGCAACAGCUCCAUGUUGAGGGUGUGGAAGGCAUGGGGAACCUGGGGCAUCUCCUUACCGCUGGGGGACAGCUCAUACUGUUAAGCAUUGGUGGCUGCCCUGGAUUCUUUGCUGGAUGGGAUCAGGAGUUAAAGCAGCAGCUUCUGAAUGGAGGAAAAGAGCAGGAACUGCAACAGCUUGUUUCGCCCCAGAAUGGAUGCAAACUGCAGGAGCUCUAUACGGAUGAUGCCAUGGGAAUCCUAUCUGUGCCCAUCUGCAACCUCCUGUCUUCCUCCCUCAGCAUCCUGGGCUUCUUUGGCAACCAAGAGAUGGAGUGCUUUACUAAGGACCAAGAGGACGCCCUUCACCUGCUGGUCUCCCUCCAGAAACUGAUGUUUAUCAACUUGAGCAAGCUUCAGAGCCUCCCUGCAGGGCUGCAAAAGCUCACCAACCUCAAGGAAUUAUCGGUCUGGUCAUGUCCGCUUGUCCGGUCACUGCCAGAGGAUGGCCUCCCCAAAUCACUUCAAGAAUUAGAUGUCUGGCGCUGCGGCAGCGCGGAGCUAACACAGCAGUGCCAGGGGUUAGUGGGAACCAUCCCAAAAAUCUUCCUGUAACUGUGAGACUGGUCCAAGGUCUCUGCCUUGGGGCUCCCAUGUACAUUCUUCUAGCCUUGUACACUUGUCACAUAGAUGAGGGUCUUGUGGCCUGCUUCUUGUACACAAAUCAUGUGUUUCUUCUCAUAGGGUUGUAGCUUCUUUGCUUAUAAAUUUGGAUUUUCAUUACUCCUCAAAGAUUUGAUGGUGUACUAAGUAGUUCCGGUGUGAGAAUCAGAAUAUUACAAUAGCAUAAUUCAGAAAUGAAUUAGUCUUCGAUGCUGCAUUAUUGAUAUUACCAGAAACUUUCUACCUUCCUGUAUAUAAAUCUGUAGCCAUCACUCAUCGGGACUUCGUGUACACUACUAAAUUGACUGUCGAGAUCAAGAUAUUACCACGAAAUGAUUGGAGAAUAAGUCAGCCUUCAGUGUUCUGCUAUUGAUACGAGGUGUUCUUAUCCUUGUUCUCAUAGGCUUGUUUGUAAUUUGCAUUUAAAUUUUGGCCGGCAUCGCUGGUCAAGACUUGGUGGGUGUACCUGGCAGCUUUGGUUGUGAGGUUCAAAAUAUCACCACAUAAUAGGCGAGACUUCUGUGCUUCGCUACUGAUAUUAAGGUAUUCAUCAUAUUUGCUCUGGCAUGGUUCCUGGUACUUAGCGUUUUCAUAUGGUUGUUACUCACAGAGACUUGGCGGUGUACCUAGAAAGUUCAGGUUUGAGGAUCAAAAGAAAGCCAGACAAGAAUGGUACUACCCGUUGGAUCCAACUUCAUAUAUUGAGAUGUCAGGCUAUCACUGAAAGCACAUAUAAGAUGGAAGGCAGUGGCGAAAUGAUCAGUGCUUGCUUCACGGCAAUAGAAUGCUGCUGGUCCGGCUUGCCUGAAGUCUUGCCGCUUGCUGUUGGAUACGGGCCCUAUUGAAACAAGGUGGAGGGGCAUGGGAGAUGGAGAAGAGGUGGAUUUUUCCGAAGCAAACGCAGACAUCCAGGGACUUUCAACAGGGGCUGCCACACAAAAAGGAAAAGGGAAAGGGGGUGGUGGUGGCGGUGGAAGAGGAGUGCGCCGCAGCGCAGGAGGAGAAUGACGGCUAUCAUAUCAUCAGCAGUGCGCCGCAUUUACUGCACUUUGUCAUGUUUUGUAAGGGGAACAGCAAGGGAAGAGUUUGUAUUUCUCUCUCUCUGAAUCCUCUGUUUCUUCCAAAACAGAAAAACAGUAAGAAAGAAAUUGGUCUGAGACUUCUCCUUCCAACACAAUCCUCUGUUUAUUGUGUUGGUAGUAGUAGACUAGUUUACUCGCUGCCCGUGGAAAGGCUUGACUUGCUGUCAAAGAGGGAUCCCUUCCUUGAUGAACAAUCAAUGUUUGGCUCCAUCACUCCCCUCUUCUAUAUGACAUAUGUCCAAAAACCAUAUUGAAACACGAAUGUGGAUGCAUGAAGGGGUUCUGUCUUCAUUCUGAUUGAAUUUCUUUUAUUCCUUCCACACAUGAAUGUAUCGAACAUGGAUGUAGAUGCAUUGGGUUGUUUGGAUUACAGCAUAUUAAAUUCUCCCCA